GGGUUGUGAGGUUAAGCGACUAAGCGUACACGGUGGAUGCCCUGGCAGUCAGAGGCGAUGAAGGGCGUGCUAAUCUGCGAUAAGCGCCGGUAAGGUGAUAUGAACCGUUAUAACCGGCGAUACCCGAAUGGGGAAACCCAGUGUGACUCGUCACACUAUCAUUAACUGAAUCCAUAGGUUAAUGAGGCGAACCGGGGGAACUGAAACAUCUAAGUACCCCGAGGAAAAGAAAUCAACCGAGAUUCCCCCAGUAGCGGCGAGCGAACGGGGAGGAGCCCAGAGCCUGAAUCAGCAUGUGUGUUAGUGGAAGCGUCUGGAAAGGCGCGCGAUACAGGGUGACAGCCCCGUACACAAAAGCGCAUGUGCUGUGAGCUCGAUGAGUAGGGCGGGACACGUGGUAUCCUGUCUGAAUAUGGGGGGACCAUCCUCCAAGGCUAAAUACUCCUGACUGACCGAUAGUGAACCAGUACCGUGAGGGAAAGGCGAAAAGAACCCCGGCGAGGGGAGUGAAAAAGAACCUGAAACCGUGUACGUACAAGCAGUGGGAGCACCCUUCGGGGUGUGACUGCGUACCUUUUGUAUAAUGGGUCAGCGACUUAUAUUCUGUAGCAAGGUUAACCGUAUAGGGGAGCCGGAGGGAAACCGAGUCUUAAUUGGGCGUUAAGUUGCAGGGUAUAGACCCGAAACCCGGUGAUCUAGCCAUGGGCAGGUUGAAGGUUGGGUAACACUAACUGGAGGACCGAACCGACUAAUGUUGAAAAAUUAGCGGAUGACCUGUGGCUGGGGGUGAAAGGCCAAUCAAACCGGGAGAUAGCUGGUUCUCCCCGAAAGCUAUUUAGGUAGCGCCUCGUGAAUUCAUCUCCGGGGGUAGAGCACUGUUUCGGCUAGGGGGCCAUCCCGGCUUACCAACCCGAUGCAAACUGCGAAUACCGGAGAAUGUUAUCACGGGAGACACACGGCGGGUGCUAACGUCCGUCGUGAAGAGGGAAACAACCCAGACCGCCAGCUAAGGUCCCAAAGUCAUGGUUAAGUGGGAAACGAUGUGGGAAGGCCCAGACAGCCAGGAUGUUGGCUUAGAAGCAGCCAUCAUUUAAAGAAAGCGUAAUAGCUCACUGGUCGAGUCGGCCUGCGCGGAAGAUGUAACGGGGCUAAACCAUGCACCGAAGCUGCGGCAGCGAACGUAUCACCCAAGACAACUUUACGGAGUUGACGAUUGACGGAGCGAAGCGACGUCAAAGCGUUCAUUAAAGUCGAGUUGGCUUAGGGAUACGUUCGUUGGGUAGGGGAGCGUUCUGUAAGCCUGUGAAGGUGUGUCGUGAGGCAUGCUGGAGGUAUCAGAAGUGCGAAUGCUGACAUAAGUAACGAUAAAGCGGGUGAAAAGCCCGCUCGCCGGAAGACCAAGGGUUCCUGUCCAACGUUAAUCGGGGCAGGGUGAGUCGACCCCUAAGGCGAGGCCGAAAGGCGUAGUCGAUGGGAAACGGGUUAAUAUUCCCGUACUUGGUGUUACUGCGAAGGGGGGACGGAGAAGGCUAUGUUGGCCGGGCGACGGUUGUCCCGGUUUAAGCGUGUAGGUGUGUGUUCCAGGUAAAUCCGGUUCACUUUAACACUGAGGCGUGACGACGAGGCACUACGGUGCUGAAGCAACAAAUGCCCUGCUUCCAGGAAAAGCCUCUAAGCAUCAGGUAACAUCAAAUCGUACCCCAAACCGACACAGGUGGUCAGGUAGAGAAUACCAAGGCGCUUGAGAGAACUCGGGUGAAGGAACUAGGCAAAAUGGUGCCGUAACUUCGGGAGAAGGCACGCUGACACGUAGGUGAAGUGAUUUACUCAUGGAGCUGAAGUCAGUCGAAGAUACCAGCUGGCUGCAACUGUUUAUUAAAAACACAGCACUGUGCAAACACGAAAGUGGACGUAUACGGUGUGACGCCUGCCCGGUGCCGGAAGGUUAAUUGAUGGGGUCAGCGCAAGCGAAGCUCCUGAUCGAAGCCCCGGUAAACGGCGGCCGUAACUAUAACGGUCCUAAGGUAGCGAAAUUCCUUGUCGGGUAAGUUCCGACCUGCACGAAUGGCGUAAUGAUGGCCAGGCUGUCUCCACCCGAGACUCAGUGAAAUUGAACUCGCUGUGAAGAUGCAGUGUACCCGCGGCAAGACGGAAAGACCCCGUGAACCUUUACUAUAGCUUGACACUGAACAUUGAGCCUUGAUGUGUAGGAUAGGUGGGAGGCUUUGAAGUGUGGACGCCAGUCUGCAUGGAGCCGACCUUGAAAUACCACCCUUUAAUGUUUGAUGUUCUAACGUGGACCCGUAAUCCGGGUUGCGGACAGUGUCUGGUGGGUAGUUUGACUGGGGCGGUCUCCUCCUAAAGAGUAACGGAGGAGCACGAAGGUUGGCUAAUCCUGGUCGGACAUCAGGAGGUUAGUGCAAUGGCAUAAGCCAGCUUGACUGCGAGCGUGACGGCGCGAGCAGGUGCGAAAGCAGGUCAUAGUGAUCCGGUGGUUCUGAAUGGAAGGGCCAUCGCUCAACGGAUAAAAGGUACUCCGGGGAUAACAGGCUGAUACCGCCCAAGAGUUCAUAUCGACGGCGGUGUUUGGCACCUCGAUGUCGGCUCAUCACAUCCUGGGGCUGAAGUAGGUCCCAAGGGUAUGGCUGUUCGCCAUUUAAAGUGGUACGCGAGCUGGGUUUAGAACGUCGUGAGACAGUUCGGUCCCUAUCUGCCGUGGGCGCUGGAGAACUGAGGGGGGCUGCUCCUAGUACGAGAGGACCGGAGUGGACGCAUCACUGGUGUUCGGGUUGUCAUGCCAAUGGCACUGCCCGGUAGCUAAAUGCGGAAGAGAUAAGUGCUGAAAGCAUCUAAGCACGAAACUUGCCCCGAGAUGAGUUCUCCCUGAGACUUAGAGUCUCCUGAAGGAACGUUGAAGACGACGACGUUGAUAGGCCGGGUGUGUAAGCGCAGCGAUGCGUUGAGCUAACCGGUACUAAUGAACCGUGAGGCUUAACCUUACAACGCCGAAG
rnacentral:rRNA from 1 species